rnacentral:rRNA from 1 species
UACAGGGGGUGCUAGCGUUGUUCGGAUUUACUGGGCGUAAAGCGCACGUAGGCGGUUUGUUAAGUGAGAGGUGAAAUCCCAGAGCUCAACUCUGGAACUGCCUUUCAUACUGGCAAGCUAGAGUCCGGAAGAGGUAAGUGGAACUCCUAGUGUAGAGGUGGAAUUCGUAGAUAUUAGGAAGAACACCAGUGGCGAAGGCGGCUUACUGGUCCGGAACUGACGCUGAGGCAUGAAAGCGUGGG